UAUUGAAAUAAGAUUUUAAAUGAGUGCUAAGAGAAUGAUUAAACAAUUAAAAGCUUUCUUUAAUUAAAAAAUUAAAUUUAAUUUUUUUAGUGCAAAAGCAAAAAUAAAAUUUAGGGACAAGAGGACCCUAUGAAUUUUUAUUGUUAAUAAUUAAAAUUUAAGUUAUUAAUAAUUUAAUUGGGGUGAUAAAAAAAGAAUAAGUAUCUUUUUAGUUAUAAAAUAAGUUCCGUUUUUAGCGAUUAAAUGAAAUAAAUACUCUAGGGAUAACAGCGUAAUAAUUUUGGAUAGUUCAUAUAGAUAAAAUAGUUUGCGACCUCGAUGUUGGAUUAGGAUUCUUUUUUGGUGAAGAAGUUAAAGAAAGAAGUUUGUU
rnacentral:rRNA from 1 species